rnacentral:lncRNA from 10 species
ACCAGGUGAUGGUGCAGAUUGAGCUGUAGACUCACCUAGACAAAUACCCCCUUGGGGUUCACUUCCUACCCAAGAAGCUGGAUGAGGCAGUGGCUGAAGUCCACCUGCACAGGCUAAAUGUGAAGUUGACCAAGCUGACUGAGAAGCAGGCCCAGUACCUGGGCAUGUCCUGUGAUGGCCCCUUCAAACUGGAUGACUACCACUACUGA